UCUUGGACAAUGGGCGAAAGCCUGAUCCAGCCAUGCCGCGUGAGUGACGAAGGUCUUCGGAUUGUAAAGCUCUUUUACCAGGGACGAUAAUGACGGUACCUGGAGAAUAAGCCCCGGCUAACUUCGUGCCAGCAGCCGCGGUAAUACGAAGGGGGCUAGCGUUGUUCGGAAUUACUGGGCGUAAAGCGCACGUAGGCGGACCUAUAAGUCAGGGGUGAAAUCCCGGGGCUCAACCUCGGAACUGCCUCUGAUACUGUGGGUCUCGAGACCGGAAGAGGUGAGUGGAAUUCCUAGUGUAGAGGUGAAAUUCGUAGAUAUUAGGAAGAACACCAGUGGCGAAGGCGGCUCACUGGUCCGGUUCUGACGCUGAGGUGCGAAAGCGUGGGGAGCAAACAG
rnacentral:rRNA from 1 species